rnacentral:rRNA from 1 species
UACGGAGGAUCCAAGCGUUAUCCGGAUUCAUUGGGUUUAAAGGGUGCGUAGGCGGAAUGAUAAGUCAGUGGUGAAAGCCCUUCGCUUAACGAAGGAACUGCCAUUGAUACUGUCAAUCUUGAAUACAUUUGAUGUGGGCGGAAUGUGUCAUGUAGCGGUGAAAUGCUUAGAUAUGACACAGAACACCGAUUGCGAAGGCAGCUCACAAAACUGUUAUUGACGCUGAGGCACGAAAGCGUGGGUAUCAAACAGG